rnacentral:misc_RNA from 1 species
CGUCAUGUACAUCUGAUCGGAGGUGGUGCGAAAUUCGACGCCGAUUCGCGAUAAAACGGAGCCAUGUACUUCGUAUCAUUGGGACGGUGAUCGCACGAAGACAGCCGGCUGAUAUCGAUGCGGACCAUCCUGGCUGCAGUCGAUGGUUGUUCCUAUCCUCGCGGCCGCCAGCGGCUCGCAGUGAACCAUGUUCAGCAAGAAACUCCAUGUAGACGUUAAGAAGUCAACGCUGAAAAUCCAGGAUGUCAAGAAGGACAGCGCGACGCGAUUUAAACAUCUUAAAAUCGUGCUAGAAAAUGUGGACACUGACGAGGCAAAGGGAUUUUUUGAAGGGAACUUCAGCCAUGUCUACUUCAUCUUGUAUGAUUGUUUUGUAUCUGCUGAAGCGAAUCUUCGACAACGCGAGCUUUCCUUCCAUAUUGUGCAUAAGGCACACAGGGAAGAGUUAGAACAAGUAUUGCAGCUCUUGGAAAAAGUUUUGACUCUUCUUCCUGAGCUGCUUAAUAGACGAUGGCAAUGCCACAGUCUAGCACGGAUUCUACAAAAACUUUUACAUCCUGGUAAUAGUUGGAAACUUCGCAGACAAGCCAUAAGAUACUUCGUUCUAUGGUACCAAGCUCUUGGCGAAAAUGCUCCCGAACAUAUACAUCAGAUGUUCGCCAGUUUGGUGCCGGGAUUCCCACCGCAUCAAGCAUCGCCUUACAAAUGUGAUCGUAAAACUGACGGCAAGAAGGAAAAGCUUGCGAAAGCGACUAACCAAGAGGAAAAAGAUAAGAAAGAAUUUUAUGAUACACAACUUGUGCUAAGUACUUUUCAUGACAAUGGAUCAAAUCAGUGUCCUAUCAGUCAAGUUGACGGCGGGCCUAUCUUACCACCCCAAAGUGGAGAGAAGCCACUUGACAAUGAAACUGUUAGGUUUUUGGAAGCGUUGCUUGAAUUUAUGGUUACUCAGGUGGUAAAGAUAGAAUGGCGAGAUAAAUCUACACGGCAACACAAAACUUUCCAAUUUUUAUUAGAACGUUUUAAGGCUACGUAUCUUCGUCACAUUUGUCCAGAAUUUGAUGACACCUUUUCACUUUAUAAACCUAAUCUAGAAUUGCCCACAAUACGAAAACCAAUGAAUCAAAAUCAUGAUAACUACGUGCUUUGCAAAGUGGCUCUCAUUAAAUGGAUCGCAAGCUUCACGCACGUCGCUAGAAAGGACGGUCUUUUUGCCCAUCUUUCGCAAAGCACAACACCGAACGAGGAAAAUGCCGAGUCGGAAUUGCGUCGUGUGUCGGUUACUCAAAAUUCUACGGAUUCGAAUCUGUUGUCACCUGAAUCAGCCGUGUCUCAACAGGACAAUCAGAAUCAAGAAGACAGCACCAUCUCGGCAGUGACAUUAGUCAGGGAAGUUUUAUACGGAAAUAGGGAUAACGUGAACUUCGUACACGAACUAUACAGACAGGCGUUUCUUCUGGAUUUCAAUCAUGCUGGUGCUAUACGAAAGGCUAUCGCCGUUUAUAAGGAUUGGAUUCAGAUGAACGAAAUUCCUCCGUUUAUGUUGGAACCCUUGGAUGGUCAUAAAGAUCGAGACUUGGAGGAUAAUCAAAGAAAAGAUGUUAAUGAAAUGGAGAAGAGUCCAUCCGAAAGUUACCGUCAGACGAGAUUGAGAAACGAUUCUUAUCUUGGAGCUAUACAUCGAGAGAAUUUAUUCAUCAGGGCUGGUUUGCAGAAUGUCCUACAGGUUUUCAUUACGCAAGCGUCAAAUGUAUUCUUUCUGGAGAAUUUAGGACUGAAUGCAUCCGCGACGUUACUCGAGGAGCAAACCGACAGUUGUAAAAGAGUCUUGAAUGUGUAUCGAUACGUUGUUAUGCACUCCAGACUGGAACCAGCAACUUGGGAACAGUUAUUGAGGGUGUUACUACAAAUUACAUCUCUUGUGCUAAGCGAGAAAUCCUCUCGUCGCAAGCAUCAAGAAAGUAUCGGCGGGAAACUCGCGCCUGCCAUAUUCCAGACUCUAAUUGUUACAUGGAUUAAGGCUAACUUAAACGUGGUUAUUUCUACCCAGCUAUGGGACCAGUUUCUAGAGGUGUUAACAUCAUUAACGCAAUGGGAAGAAUUAAUUCGAGAGUGGGCGAAAACACUGGACACGUUGACGAGAGUACUGGCGAGACACGUGUACAAUUUGGACUUGAAUGAUCUACCGUUGGAUAGACUCAGCGAACAAAAAUCAAAGAAGCGACGUGGCGUUGGGAGUCGCGCAGCGUCAACCGGGAGUGUUCAGCCACCCCGGACAGGUAGCGUCGAUCAGGAGAACAAUGCCGCGCCGAAGGAGAGCGUCACAGAUCACCCGCUACGAGACUUGAGAAAAGUGCGACCGCUUCCUCGCAGUGCAAGUGACAACACUAUAUAUAACAGCAAGACUCGCACGAAGUUGCAAAAAAAUCGCACGCAUACGAUACAUAGCGGCAUUCCUGUACUCCCCCUAUCGAUAGAACAAGAUAUGGCGCGGUUACUGUCAAACGGCUCGACUUCGUCGUCGUCAGCGACCGGCCGAAAGAUGUUACCUAGCAGACGUGCCAAAUCUUUGGAUAGCAUUGUUGUAGUUGAUAGCGAACCACCGUCGCCACGAUGUCCGUCACCGACACCCAGCAGUGGCGUUGACAGCAACAAAGAUAGUCCCAUACAGAUAGAGAAUAUUGAUGGUAGCAGUAUCGAUACAAACGAUGCAUCAGAGAGAAGAUCAGUUAUGGCAGGUGGAGGGGUCCGUGGAUGGUUGCCAGAUGUGGCUGUUGUUUUAUGGCGACGUAUGCUGUCAGCAUUGGGAGACGUGAAUAACAUUCAAGACCCUACCUUGCACGGUCAAGUCAUGGAUUAUCUCGUGCAACUCACACAAACAUUGAUUAAAAUACGUUUAAAUCAAGGAAUAUCCGGGGAUAAUCAAGCAACGCCCCCAGCACCAGAGCUGAUUCCACCUUUAACAGUAAUCGCUCCUUGGUGCUUCAAGGCAAUCCAACUUCCUGAGCAGUACGAAAUCGGCAAGCUAGCAGCUUAUCGUCUUAUAUGUCUUUUAACGGUACAACCACUGGACAUCAGUCUACCUAAGCAGCAUUUAACACUGUUCUACCGCGCCGUUCACAGUGGUAUCGCUAGUAAAGAUAAUAAUAUUCUGCAUGUACUUGUAAAGUACACAGGACCUAGAUUAUUCAGCCUGAAUCUCCCUGGAUCGAGUCUUCUGAUUUUGGACUACAUACACGCUGCUAACGUGAUACUCGGCAGUCAAGACGUUGAGGCACCAAGAACUGAAGCAGUUUCUAUUAUCGGCUCGUUGUUAUCUUUACCCGCUGCGAUGUUCAAGCUACCUAUGCUACAACCGAAAGGACCUGAUAUUAUAACAAUGACGUGCCCAGAGGCAAAAGAACACAUUGUAACGAUACUUUUGCGGAGUUGCCGCCGAGAACCAACCGGAAUCGCGAGAUGCGUGGCUCUAUCUAGCAUCGCGAUGUUCGUGUAUAAAGAAUUGUCUUACAAAACGCAACAUCCGAGAAUCCCGGAAGCUGUCACCGUUCUUCUUCUUGCGCUUAGACGGAUGCAAGGAGCAGAGCGUCGCAGAGCUGGUUUCCAUUUUCCUCUAAUGGAUCAGGCCUCGCACGCCACGAUAGCGCAGGUUGCUUGUGACUCUCUCUUGCUUCUCUGCGAUAAGGCUGAUGUGCUGCUAGAAUUGUAUCCCAACGUGCCAUCUAAAAUAAUCCAGGUUUUGUCAGAUACACUCGGACGAAUGACGUCGCGAGAAAGACAAGGGCCCUUGACCGUGUCGAUGCUGUUCUGCUUGGGCGAAUGGGCUAUGCACCUAGGACCGACAGUAUUACUGCGAGUGUUUCAGGGGAAACCUCUGUUGAUGACACUAUUUACAGUAUUGAACAACAUAGUGCAGAAUAAAGUUGGAAAAGAAUCUUCCCAAUCAGCUAAUAAGAAUAGUCAGGAAGAGGGUAACGACUUUGAAUUUGACAUUACAUUUGACAAUUUGGUCGACGAACCCUCCUUGAAGUCACCUCACAAAGGAAAUAUCCAGUCUGUGCAAUUGGCAGCGAAAAUGGUAAUGAUGCACUUGAUCAAUCAUCUGGGACAUUUUCCAAUGGGUAUCGGAGCCGCGCGUCUCUCGUCGUUAGUCGUCGAACUGGAUGAUGUCCCUGGUAUCGAUGGGGACGAGCUGUCCUCCGCCGUUUUUCAAGCACCUAAUAUUCAGCUAUUAAUGCUCUCAAAUUCCAUCAUAAUGUCACUGGUGGAGUUAGCGGCAUUGGACGCACCUGGCGGUGGUGUUACCGCCGGCUUAACUACAGCUCCUUCAUUGGUCAGAGUUCUGUUAAGAGAUCUUGCUGGGAAGGCCUCUUGGGACAGUUCAAUAUUAUACAGCCAACCCUUUGUCGACGAUGAUCUGCCGCUGCCAUUUGCGAAGCCUAUUGACUGGAGCGCGAAAUUACAUACGGACGAUUUGAACAGUGUUAUCACACCUCACAAUUGCACACCUAGGCACACAAUACGACAUCGUGAGCCCCAUAUAUUGCCGACCUUUGCAAACGCUGCAAGUGAUAUGGACAAUUUGGACGAUCUUCUUCAGUACAUAGGGCAUACCAGUCCAGAAGUUCUAACUAACCCAGAAGUUGCCUUGAAUGCACCCGCUAACCCACCUCAUGGACAUUAUCUGGAAAGCGAGACCAUCGCUACGAUUUUAAGCCAGAGAAAUGCAGAGCAAGAACACAUCAACAAUUGGAAUCAACACAUCAGUAUGUGCGCGUCAGCAAUCAGUCCGCCGUCGUGUCGUCCGCCCCCGGCACCAUUUCAUCACUGCCGCCUUCUGUUUUCACAUCUCGGUUUAUCCGGUUGGGAGCAACGUAGAAAAUUGCAUUUGCUGGCGAAGAACGAGAAACUCUUGCGCGAACUUCGCAACCUAGACAGUCAACGGUCCAGAGAGACCCACAAGAUAGCAGUGAUUUACGUCAGCCAAGGCCAAGAGGACAAGAACUCCAUACUAAGCAACGUCACUGCCAGUAAGGAGUACGAGAGCUUCAUCGCGAGACUCGCCUGGGAAGUGGAGCUGGAGUCGCAUACGGGUUUCCUUGGCGGCCUGGUGCCCGGGAAAGCGUCCGGCGUUACGGCACCGUAUUACGCCACGUCUUUUACCGAGAUCCUCUUCCACGUUGCCACAAGGAUGCCGUCAGAUAGUCCCGAGAGUUUAUUGCAGAAGACGCGACAUCUUGGUAACGAUGAAAUUCACAUCGUCUGGUCGGAGCACUGGCGAGAUUAUCGCAGAGACAUCAUACCCACAGAAUUCUGCGAUGUCCUAAUAGUCAUUUACCCGCUGCAAAAUAAGUUGUACCGGAUACAGAUUUCGCGGAAAUCGGAAAUUCCUUUCUUCGGACCUCUUUUCGACGAGUGCAUCGUGGAGGACAAGGUGCUGCCAGGUCUGGUGAGAACGACCGCAUUAGCCGCGAGUAGAGCGAAGAGAUCUACGCUGACGUUGUACCAACAUUACUAUGAGGAGAGGGCCCGAUCUAUCGACACUGUUAUGAGAAAUCACAAGGAAGCUACGACAUUCGAGGAGUUCACGGCCAAUGUGUAUUCACCGGUGCAACCGCCAAGCCCGUUCAGCGGAGCUUCGUCUGUCUCCGGAUCUACAAUAAGCGUACAAUCUACAGCAUCGUCAAACCUCGCAGCAGCGCUUAUAGAUUCGCAUCAAGGACGCUCCGGUCUACGCAGUACUUCGACAACGAGCAGUGACAACCGUGCGAAUAGAGGUGACUAAUUCAGUCCACUAACCCCCACCCACCUUAUAACACCACCGAACAAGUCUUGCAAAAUAUAUUCAGAGUUUCUGACGGAAGCAGGGUGUGGUUUAGCAAUGACACCCCCGAGAGUACCA